UGAGUGAGAUUUAAAUCCUUUCACAAGGAUCAAUUGGAGGGCAAGUCUGGUGCCAGCAGCCGCGGUAACUCCAGCUCCAAUAGCGUAUAUUAAAGUUGUUGCAGUUAAAAAGCUCGUAGUUGGAUCUCGGUCGCAUUGUUGCCUGCCAUCGCUUGGCUUGUGAGGCAGAGUUGUGUGCUUUGCACUGGCUUUGUCAUGCUUGUCGAGUUGGCUUGGUGGCGGUGUAGCCUUUUAGCCAUGUCUGUGGUGAAAUAUCCAUAGGUGUAGGCGAGUGUCAGGCGGUGCCUUGCAAUAGUAGGGUCUGUCGGCUUGUCUGCAUGCCUUUGGAUGCCCUUCAAAAGGUGUCUGUAGGCAGAUGGCACGUUUACUUUGAACAAAUUUGAGUGCUCAAAUCAGGCCGAUGUUGCCUGAAAAGUUUUGCAUGGAAUAAUGGAAUAGGACUUCGGUUCUAUUUUGUUGGUUUUCGGAUCCGAAGUAAUGAUCAAAAGAGACAGGCGGGGACCUUUGUAUGGUUGCGCUAGAGGUGAAAUUCAUGGACCGUAGCCAGACAAACUAAAGCGAAAGCAUUCGUCAAGCAUGUUUUCAUUGACCAUGAGCGAAAGUCAGAGGCUCGAAGACGAUCAGAUACCGUCCUAGUUCUGACCAUAAACUAUGCCAACUGACGAUCCGUGAUGGUAGUAUUUUAACCUUCCACACGGGCAGUCCCCGGAAAACCUUUAAGUCUUUGGGUUCCGGGGGAAGUAUGGUUGCAAAGCUGAAACUUAAAGGAAUUGACGGAAGGGCACCACCAGGAGUGGAGCCUGCGGCUUAAUUUGACUCAGCGCGGGAAAACUCACCCGGGCCGGACACUAUGAGGAUUGACAGAUUGACAGCUCUUUCAUGAUUUGGUGGUUGGUGGUGCAUGGCCGUUCUUAGUUGGUGGAGCGAUUUGUCUGGUUAAUUCCGAUAACGAACGAGACUCUAGCUUGCUCAUUAGUGUGCUUGUCCACUGUGCCUGUGCAGGUGGGGUUUCUACGAUUCUGCUCUAUCAAAGUGGCUUGCUGAAAGCGUGCAGUGGUUAUGCUGUUGUGCGUGGAAAGCUUGUCGCUGGAGUGGAUGGUUAGGCGUUGCUUCCGGGUGCGGCGCGAGCAUUCUACUUCUUAGAAGGACAAACGGCAGAAUCCGCACGAAAUUGAGCAAUAACAGGUCUGUGAUGCCCUUAGAUGUCCGGGGCCGCACGCGCGCUACAAUGACGAUGGCAACGAGUCUGACCUUCUGGCCCGAAAGGGUUGGACAAACUGGUCAAUCAUCGUCAUGACAGGGAUUGGGGCUUGUAAUUGUUCCCCAUGAACGAGGAAUUCCUAGUAAGUGCAAGUCAUAAGCUUGCGCUGAUUACGUCCCUGCCCUUUGUACACACCGCCCGUCGCUACUACCGAUUGAAUGGUUUAGUAAGGUCAUUGG
rnacentral:rRNA from 1 species